UACGUAGGGGGCAAGCGUUGUCCGGAUUUAUUGGGCGUAAAGAGCGUGUAGGCGGCCAGACAGGUCAGCUGUGAAAACUCGAGGCUCAACCUCGAGACGUCGGUUGAAACCGUCUGGCUAGAGUCCGGAAGAGGAGAGUGGAAUUCCCGGUGUAGCGGUGAAAUGCGCAGAUAUCGGGAGGAACACCGGUGGCGAAGGCGGAUCUCUGGGCCAUUACUGACGCUGAGGAGCGAAAAGCGUGGGGAGCGAACGAGG
rnacentral:rRNA from 1 species